CAGCACCUUCGGGGAGCUGAAGACAGUCCGUUUGCCAAAGAAGAUGACGGGGACAGGCCCCCACCGAGGGUUUGGCUUUGUGGAUUUCUUAACCAAACAGGAUGCCAAGAGAGCUUUCAAUGCCCUGUGCCACAGCACCCAUUUAUAUGGGAGAAGACUGGUCCUAGAGUGGGCAGACACAGAAGAGACAGUCCAAGCCUUGAGACGGAAGACAGCUCAGCAUUUUCAUGAUUCCCCAAAGAAAAGGCGGUCUGUGGUGUUGGAUGAGAUCCUGGAGCAGCUGGAGGAGGGCGAGAACGAGGACAGCGAGUAGCAGAUACUUCAGCUGCGCUCUGGCGGAGAGAGCUUCUCUGCAAAUUGCGGUUGCCUGGGCCCUGCGCGGUGAAGCCAUUCUCCCACAGUUCCACCAACGUGUCAGAUGCAGGACCUGAAUUCUUGCCUCUUGCCUUGAGCAUAGCAGGUGCUUAUUAAAUGCUUCUUGAAUCUAGCUUAAAAGGAAGUGCCUCCUGAAUUACCUUGUCACACCCACCCCAUCCCAUAAAGUCCAGAGCACCCUUCUUACCUCUAUAAAACCCUGUAUUUGGCAGUCAAAGCCUUUCAUGAGCUGGCAUCCCCUCCUCCACCUUUCUGGUCUUUGCCCUCUAGCACUCUACAGUCCAGUGACACCCACCGCCUUGUUGCCCUUCCGUGCUUCACCUCUGGGCAUUUCCAUUGGUUCCUCAUCUUUGCUCCAGACUCAGCUAAAAUCCUACAUUCUCCAGGAAGCAUUCCUGAGCCUCCCCAGUCCUAAUGCCCUCCCUCUGGGGGUUCUCUCCAGGUCAUCCUGCCAAUGGCUCAUUUGUACAGAAUUGUCAUCUCCUCCAUUCGACUUCGAUGAGCUCUGUUUGAGAGCGAGGACUAUUUUUUGCCUUUUUUUGCAUCCCUAGCAUUAGCACAGGGCACGGCAUGCUGUAAGCACUCAUUAAGUGUUUAUUGAUUCAAUGACUAAUCCCAAUGUCAAUGAAUGCCCCUUCCCCCCCCAUGAAGAAGCCUAUAUUAUCUAUAAGUAAAUGUAUCCAGUAUCACUAUUAAUGUAAUCAU